rnacentral:rRNA from 1 species
AUACGGAGGGGGCUAGCGUUGUUCGGAAUUACUGGGCGUAAAGCGCGCGUAGGCGGUCCGCGUAGUCAGGCGUGAAAGCCCCGGGCUCAACCUGGGAACUGCGUUUGAUACUGGCGGGCUAGAGUCCGGGAGAGGGUAGUGGAAUUCCCAGUGUAGAGGUGAAAUUCGUAGAUAUUGGGAAGAACACCAGUGGCGAAGGCGGCUACCUGGACCGGUACUGACGCUGAGGUGCGAAAGCGUGGGGAGCAAACAGGAUUAGAAACCCCGGUAGUCC